rnacentral:rRNA from 1 species
UACGUAGGGGGCUAGCGUUGUCCGGAUUUAUUGGGCGUAAAGGGCUCGUAGGUGGCCAACUAAGUCAGACGUGAAAUCCCUCGGCUUAACCGGGGAACUGCGUCUGAUACUGGAUGGCUUGAGUUCGGGAGAGGGAUGCGGAAUUCCAGGUGUAGCGGUGAAAUGCGUAGAUAUCUGGAGGAACACCGGUGGCGAAGGCGGCAUCCUGGACCGACACUGACACUGAGGAGCGAAAGCCAGGGGAGCAAACGGG